UACGUAGGGGGCAAGCGUUGUCCGGAUUCAUUGGGCGUAAAGAGCGUGUAGGCGGCCAGGUAGGUCGGUUGUGAAAACUGGAGGCUCAACCUUCAGAGGUCGACCGAAACCAUCUGGCUAGAGUCCGGGAGAGGAGAGUGGAAUUCCUGGUGUAGCGGUGAAAUGCGCAGAUAUCAGGAGGAACACCGGUGGCGAAGGCGGUUCUCUGGGCCUUACCUGACGCUGAGGAGCGAAAGCGUGGGGAGCAAACAGG
rnacentral:rRNA from 1 species